GGGGGGGGCAAGCGUUGUUCGGAAUUACUGGGCGUAAAGGGUGCGUAGGCGGCUUUCUAAGUCGGAUGUGAAAACUCUGGGCUCAACCCAGAGCCUGCAUCUGAAACUGGAGAGCUUGGGUUCUGGAGGGGAAAGCGGAAUUCCUGGUGUAGCGGUGAAAUGCGUAGAUAUCAGGAGGAACACCGGUGGCGAAGGCGGCUUUCUGGACAGAUACCGACGCUGAGGCACGAAAGCUAGGGGAGCAAACAGGAUUAGAUACCCUGGUAGUCCUAGCCCUAAACCAUGGAUACUUGCUGUGAGGGGGAUUGAAGCCCCUUGUGGCGAAGCUAACGCAUUAAGUAUCCCGCCUGGGGAGUACGGUCGCAAGGCUG
rnacentral:rRNA from 1 species